AGGAGCCGUGUGAUGCGAAAGUAUCAAGCACGGUUUUUAAUGGGAGUUCGGGAAGGUGACUUCCCGUUCGACCCCUAC
rfam:Arthrospira platensis NIES-39 DNA, nearly complete genome.